AACGAACGCUGGCGGCAUGCCUAACACAUGCAAGUCGAACGAGACCUUCGGGUCUAGUGGCGCACGGGUGCGUAACGCGUGGGAAUCUGCCCCUUGGUUCGGAAUAACAGCGAGAAAUUGCUGCUAAUACCGGAUAAUGACGUAAGUCCAAAGAUUUAUCGCCAAGGGAUGAGCCCGCGUAGGAUUAGCUAGUUGGUGUGGUAAAGGCGCACCAAGGCGACGAUCCUUAGCUGGUCUGAGAGGAUGAUCAGCCACACUGGGACUGAGACACGGCCCAGACUCCUACGGGAGGCAGCAGUGGGGAAUAUU
rnacentral:rRNA from 1 species